rnacentral:rRNA from 1 species
AUAAGUUACUAAGGGCGCACGGGGGAUGCCUAGGCUCUCAGAGACGAAGAAGGACGUGCUAAGCUGCGAAAAGCUACGGGGAACUGCCAAGGGGUUUAGAUCCGUAGAUAUCCGAAUGGGGCAACCCACGCCGUUUACGGCGACUAAGGUCAACCCACUGAACUGAAACAUCUAAGUAAGUGGAGGAAGAGAAAAUAAUAAUGAUUCCCUAAGUAGUGGCGAGCGAACGGGGAAGAGCCCAAACCGGUAUUGUUUCGGCAUUGCCGGGGUUGUAGGACUGCAACAUGAACUUAAAAUUGAAGUUGAAUUACCUGGAAAGGUAAGCAGCAUAGGGUGAAAGCCCCGUAAACGUAAGAUUUUAAGGGAUAGCAGGAUCCUGAGUAGCGCGGGGUCGGAGACGCCUUGCGUGAAACUGCCAGCACCAUCUGGUAAGGCUAAAUACUACUGAGAGACCGAUAGUGAACCAGUACUGUGAAGGAAAGGUGAAAAGAAUCUUGAACAAAGAAGUUAAAUAGAACCUGAAACCGUGCGCUUACAAGCGGUCGGAGCCCUUUCGUGGGGUGACGGCGUGCCUUUUGCAUAAUGAGCCUACGAGUUACUCCUCAAUAGCAAGAUUAAGUUCUUAAGGAACGUAGUCGCAGCGAAAGCGAGUCUGAAUAGGGCGUAUAGUUAUUGGGGGUAGACGCGAAACCUGAGUGAUCUACCCAUGGCCAGGAUGAAGGUGCCGUAACAGGUACUGGAGGUCCGAACUGGUAAGCGUUGAAAAGCUUUCGGAUGAGCUGUGGGUAGGGGUGAAAGGCUAAUCAAACUGGGAGAUAGCUCGUACUCCUCGAAAUGUUUUUUGGAACAGCCUCGGUAUAUAGUGUCGCAGAGGUAGAGCUACUAAUUGGGUAAGGGGGUGUCAAAACCUACCGAACUCAGAUAAACUCCGAAUGCUGCGUACAUGUUCACCGGGAGUGAGCCCUUGGGUGCUAAGGUCCGAGGGCGAGAGGGAAAGAACCCAGACCAUCAGCUAAGGUCUCUAAAUAUAGAUUAAGUUGAACUAACGUGGUUCAAUCGCUAAGACAGCUAGGAUGUUUGCUUGGAAGCAGCAAUUCAUUUAAAGAGUGCGUAACAGCUCACUAGUCGAGCGGUUGAGCGUGGAUGAUAAACGGGCAUCAAAUCUAUUACCGAAGCUAUGGAUUUAUACAGUAAUGUAUGAGUGGUAGAGGAGCAUUCCAACAUCGUUGAAGGUGAGUCGUGAGGCUUGCUGGAGAGGUUGGAAAAGCCAAUGUAGGCAUAAGUAACGAUAAGGCAGGUGAGAAACCUGCCCACCAAUAGCCUAAGGUUUCCUGAUCAACGUUAAUCGGAUCAGGGUUAGUCGGGGCCUAAGACGAAGCGAAAAAGCGUAGUCGAUGGACAACAGGUUAAUAUUCCUGUACCAGUGGAGAGGGACGGAUUGACGUGGUGUCUACGUGCUGACGGAAAUGCACGUUGAGCCUAGCCUUCGGGCAAAGCGAAGACAUAAAAUCGAUUCCUAGAAAAGCUCCCACAUUAGCCCGUACCGCAAACCGACACAGGUAGGCAAGAUGAAUAUUCUAAGGUGCUCGAGUGAUUCACGGUUAAGGAACUCGGCAAAUUAACCCUGUAACUUCGGGAAAAGGGGUACCCAUAGCAAUAUGGGUCGCAGAGAAAUGGCCCAGGCGACUGUUUAUCAAAAACACAUGGCUAUGCUAAAUCGAAAGAUAAUGUAUAUGGCCUGACACCUGCCCGGUGCUGGAAGGUUAAGAGGGGAUGUCAUCCGCAAGGAGAAGCAUUGAAUCGAAGCCCCAGUAAACGGCGGCCGUAACUAUAACGGUCCUAAGGUAGCGAAAUUCCUUGUCGGGUAAGUUCCGACCUGCACGAAUGGUGUAACGAUCUGGGCACUGUCUCAACCGUGAGCUCGGUGAAAUUGUGGUAUCGGUGAAGACGCCGGUUAAUCGCAUCGGGACGGAAAGACCCCGUGCACCUUUACUAUAGCUUUGCAUUGACUUUGGGUAAAUAAUGUGUAGGAUAGGCGGGAGACUUUGAAGCGGUGUCGCUAGGCAUCGUGGAGUCAACCUUGAAAUACCGCCCUUUGUUUACUUGGAGUCUAAUCCCACGAAUGUGGGAGACAUUGCAUGGUGGGUAGUUUGACUGGGGUGGUCGCCUCCAAAAAAGUAUCGGAGGCUUCUAAAGGUCUGCUCAGCACGCUUGGUAACCGUGCGCAGAGUGCAAUAGCAUAAGCAGGCUUGACUGUGAGGCCUACAAGCCGAGCAGGUACGAAAGUAGAGUAUAGUGAUCCGGUGGUUCUGCAUGGAAGGGCCAUCGCUCAUAGGAUAAAAGGUACGCCGGGGAUAACAGGCUGAUCUCCCCCAAGAGCUCACAUCGACGGGGAGGUUUGGCACCUCGAUGUCGGCUCGUCACAUCCUGGGGCUGGAGAAGGUCCCAAGGGUUCGGCUGUUCGCCGAUUAAAGUGGCACGCGAGCUGGGUUCAGAACGUCGUGAGACAGUUCGGUCCCUAUCUGAUGUGAUCGUUGGAAAUUUGAGAGGAUCUGACCUUAGUACGAGAGGACCGGGUUGGACGUACCUCUGGUGUAUCUGUUGUGGCGCCAGCUGCAUUGCAGAGUAGCUACGUACGGAUAAGAUAAGCGCUGAAAGCAUCUAAGCACGAAACUUACCUCAAGAUGAGAUUUCCUUUAAGGGUCGUAGUAGACGACUACGUUGAUAGGCUACAGAUGUAAAGAUAGUAAUAUCAAAGUCGAGUAGUACUAAUUACCCGUAGACUUACAAUU